AGAAUCAACGCUGGCGGCGUGCCUAACACAUGCAAGUCGAACGAGAAAGUGGGAGCAAUCCCAUGAGUAAAGUGGCGCACGGGUGAGUAACACGUGACUAACCUACCCUUGAGUGGGGGACAACCUAGGGAAACCUGGGCUAAUACCGCAUAAUACCUACGGGUCAAAGGAGCAAUUCGCUUUAGGAGGGGGUCGCGGCAGAUUAGUUAGUUGGCGGGGUAAUGGCCCACCAAGACAGUGAUCUGUA
rnacentral:rRNA from 1 species